GACGAACGCUGGCGGCGUGCUUAACACAUGCAAGUCGAGCGGAGCGGCGAACGGGUGAGUAACGCGUGCGUAACUGCCCCCCUCCGUGGGGUAACAGUUUGAAACGGCUGCUAAUACCGGAUAGUGGGGGAUGAGUCGCGUCCAAUCAGCUUGUUGGUGGGGUAGUGGCCUACGAAGGGGACGACGGGUAGCCGGCCUGGGAGGGCGACCGGCCACAUUGGGUUGGGAUACGGCCCAAACGCCUACGGGAGGCAGCAGGGGGGAAUAUUGCACAAGGGGGGAAACCAUGAUGCAGCAACGCGCGUGGGGGAUGACGGCUUUCGGGUUGUAAACCGCUUUCAGCCAGGACGCGGUAGUGGCAGAAGAAGCACCGGCUAACUACGUGCCAGCAGCCGCGGUAAUAC
rnacentral:rRNA from 1 species